rnacentral:rRNA from 1 species
UACGAAGGGUGCAAGCGUUAAUCGGAAUUACUGGGCGUAAAGCGCGCGUAGGUGGUUCAGUAAGUUGGAAGUGAAAUCCCCGGGCUCAACCUGGGAACUGCUUUCAAAACUGCUGAGCUAGAGUACGGUAGAGGGUGGUGGAAUUUCCUGUGUAGCGGUGAAAUGCGUAGAUAUAGGAAGGAACACCAGUGGCGAAGGCGACCACCUGGACUGAUACUGACACUGAGGUGCGAAAGAGUGGGGAGCAAACAGG